UACGUAGGCAGCGAGCGUUGUUCGGAGUUACUGGGCGUAAAGGGUGUGUAGGCGGUUGUUUAAGUUUGGUGUGAAAUCUCCCGGCUCAACUGGGAGGGUGCGCCGAAUACUGAAUGACUUGGAGUCCGGGAGAGGGGGGUGGAAUUCCCAGUGUAGCGGUGAAAUGCGUAGAUAUUGGGAGGAACACCGGUGGCGAAGGCGGCCCCCUGGACCGGUACUGACGCUGAGGCGCGAAAGCGUGGGUAGCAAACGGG
rnacentral:rRNA from 1 species